GACGAACGCUGGCGGCGUGCCUAAUACAUGCAAGUAGAACGCACAGUUUAUACUGUAGCUUGCUACACCAUAAACUGUGAGUUGCGAACGGGUGGGUAACGCGUAGGUAACCUGCCUGGUAGCGGGGGAUAACUAUUGGAAACGAUAGCUAAUACCGCAUAAUAUUGAUUAUUGCUUGAUAAUUGAUUGAAAGAUGCUAUUGCAUCACUACCAGAUGGACCUGCGUUGUAUUAGCUAGUAGGUGAGGUAGCGGCUCACCUAGGCGACGAUACAUAGCCGACCUGAGAGGGUGAUCGGCCACACUGGGACUGAGACACGGCCCAGACUCCUACGGGAGGCAGCAGUAGGGAAUCUUCGGAAAUGGACGAAAGUCUGACCGAGCAACGCCGCGUGAGUGAAGAAGGUUUUCGGAUCGUAAAGCUCUGUUGUAAGAGAAGAACGGGUGUGAGAGUGGAAAGUUCACACUGUGACGUUAUCUUACCAGAAAGGGACGGCUAACUACGUG
rnacentral:rRNA from 1 species